rfam:Physcomitrella patens subsp. patens PHYPAscaffold_53 genomic scaffold, whole genome shotgun sequence.
UCAAGACAGUUGAUGAAACACGUUUGCAUGGGUAAUUUGCGCCUGAAUUCUGUGAUGCAAAACACCUUGGAGAACUGAUGUCUAUC